UGAUUCACGAUCUGCGUUUUAGGAAGACACAUGAACUUAUUAGAUCCAGGCUUUAACUUCAGUUUCCUGUGUGACCUUUGAGAAGCCAUCUCUCCAAGUGCUUCCUUUGAAAGGGAAAAUCGAUGGGCACAAGCUGGGAUCAACUACAAGGAAAUUUGAGCAGCAGGAGAAGCUCAUUCUUCCAAGGUGCUUGGUAAAUUUGGGGAAUUCUCUGAACAUUCUGAGUAAAUAUCUGGGUGGAGGGCAAGGAAGUGACUAUAUUAUUCCUAGCAAUGCAAGGAGAUAGUCAUAGCUUUGACAAAUACUUUUAGGUUUGCUGAAGAGUUUUUAUUUUCUCCUUUUGUCUCUAUGCCACCCAGGUGUUGCUAUUGCCCUAGUUUCUCAGAGAAGUAAACCCAGGCUCAGAGUAGUCUGGGGGUUUGUUGGAGGCCACAGAACCGGUUAGAAGAGGCAUGGAUUAGGAUGCAGGUAUUGUGACUCAUUCUGCAGACUUCCCUUGGGGUUUUCAAUCUUGUCCUUUCUGGUUGUGCCCACACCUGGGUUUAGACUCAUGCUGGGGGCUAGAUGGGAGCGAGUUGGAUGUCUUGGGGUGAAUGUGGGAAUG
rnacentral:lncRNA from 1 species